rnacentral:rRNA from 1 species
GACGAACGCUGGCGGCGUGCUUAACACAUGCAAGUCGAACGGUAAGGCCCUUCGGGGUACACGAGUGGCGAACGGGUGAGUAACACGUGGGUGAUCUGCCCUGCACUUCGGGAUAAGCCUGGGAAACUGGGUCUAAUACCGGAUAGGACCACUGCCUGCAUGGGUGGGGGUGGAAAGCUUUUGCGGUGUGGGAUGGGCCCGCGGCCUAUCAGCUUGUUGGUGGGGUGAUGGCCUACCAAGGCGACGACGGGUAGCCGGCCUGAGAGGGUGACCGGCCACACUUGGACUGAGAUACGGCCCAGACGCCGACGGGAGGCAGCAGUGGGGAAUAUUGCACAAUGGGCGCAAGCCUGAUGCAGCGACGCCGCGUGAGGGAUGACGGCCUUCGGGUUGUAAACCUCUUUCAGCACCGACGAAGCGCAAGUGACGGUAGGUGCAGAAGAAGGACCGGCCAACUACGUGCCAGCCGCCGCAGUAA